GUUGUUUUUGAUCAAAAUUACACAUGCAAGCAUCCGCAUCCCAGUGAGAAUGCCCUUACAAAGCAACAAGGAGCAGGUAUCAGGCACAAUAAUUUAGCCCAAGACACCUUGCUACGCCACACCCACACGGGUACCCAGCAGUGAUAAAUAUUAAGCAAUGAGUGAAAGCCAACAUCAAGCUCGACUUAGUUAUGAUCAUAUGGGGCCGGUAAACCUCGUGCCAGCCACCGCGGUUAUACGAGGGGCCCAAAACAACAGACAUCGGCGUAAAUUGUGACUAGAGUAGCCACUUAUGAAAGAUAAAAUAAAGUCUAACCGUAAAACCCAGACUAAAAG
rnacentral:rRNA from 1 species